CUCAGGACGAACGCUGGCGGCGUGCUUAACACAUGCAAGUCGAACGGAAAGGCCCUUCGGGGUACUCGAGUGGCGAACGGGUGAGUAACACGUGGGUGAUCUGCCCUGCACUUUGGGAUAAGCCUGGGAAACUGGGUCUAAUACCGAAUAUGAUCAUCGGCUUCAUGGUCGGUGGUGGAAAGCUUUUGCGGUGUGGGAUGGGCCCGCGGCCUAUCAGCUUGUUGGUGGGGUAAUGGCCUACCAAGGCGACGACGGGUAGCCGGCCUGAGAGGGUGACCGGCCACACUGGGACUGAGAUACGGCCCAGACUCCUACGGGAGGCAGCAGUGGGGAAUAUUGCACAAUGGGCGCAAGCCUGAUGCAGCGACGCCGCGUGAGGGAUGACGGCCUUCGGGUUGUAAACCUCUUUCAGCACAGACGAAGCGCAAGUGACGGUAUGUGCAGAAGAAGGACCGGCCAACUACGUGCCAGCAGCCGCGGUAAUACGUAGGGUCCGAGCGUUGUCCGGAAUUACUGGGCGUAAAGAGCUCGUAGGUGGUUUGUCGCGUUGUUCGUGAAAACUCACAGCUUAACUGUGGGCGUGCGGGCGAUACGGGCAGACUAGAGUACUGCAGGGGAGACUGGAAUUCCUGGUGUAGCGGUGGAAUGCGCAGAUAUCAGGAGGAACACCGGUGGCGAAGGCGGGUCUCUGGGCAGUAACUGACGCUGAGGAGCGAAAGCGUGGGGAGCGAACAGGAUUAGAUACCCUGGUAGUCCACGCCGUAAACGGUGGGUACUAGGUGUGGGUUUCCUUCCUUGGGAUCCGUGCCGUAGCUAACGCAUUAAGUA
rnacentral:rRNA from 1 species